UCUCAGUGAUGAUCAAAACGAUGACGAGUCUGAUUUAUAAUCCAUUCCAUUCAUCCUUGAUGACAAAACGAGGCAUUUGUCUGAGAGAA